rnacentral:pre_miRNA from 1 species
GAUUUCAGCUGAAAAAGUCAUCAACAAUAAAGUUUUAUAACUCAUCAAGAUCUAUAACUUCUAUUUUGAUCAUUUCUUCAUCCGAUAAAGUGAUCAUAACAUAUUCUUAAAAUUGUAUAUUUUGUGAACAAUGUUACAAAUCACUUUAUCGGAUGAAUAAAUGACCAAAAUAGAAGUUAUAGAUCUUGAUGAGUUAUACAAUUUUAUUGUUGAUGACUUUUUCAGUUGAAAUC